rnacentral:rRNA from 1 species
UACGUAGGGCGCAAGCGUUAUCCGGAAUUAUUGGGCGUAAAGAGCUCGUAGGCGGUUUGUCGCGUCUGCUGUGAAAACCUGAGGCUCAACCUCGGGCUUGCAGUGGGUACGGGCAGACUAGAGUGCGGUAGGGGUGACUGGAAUUCCUGGUGUAGCGGUGGAAUGCGCAGAUAUCAGGAGGAACACCGAUGGCGAAGGCAGGUCACUGGGCCGCAACUGACGCUGGAGGAGCGAAAGCGUGGGGAGCGAACAGG